GACGAACGCUGGCGGCGUGCUUAACACAUGCAAGUCGAACGGAAAGGCCCUGCUUUUGUGGGGUGCUCGAGUGGCGAACGGGUGAGUAACACGUGAGUAACCUGCCCUUGACUUUGGGAUAACUUCAGGAAACUGGGGCUAAUACCGGAUAGGAGCUCCUGCUGCAUGGCGGGGGUUGGAAAGUUUCGGCGGUUGGGGAUGGACUCGCGGCUUAUCAGCUUGUUGGUGGGGUAGUGGCUUACCAAGGCUUUGACGGGUAGCCGGCCUGAGAGGGUGACCGGCCUCAUUGGGACUAAGAUACGGCCCAGACUCCUACGGGAGGCAGCAGUGGGGAAUAUUGCACAAUGGGCGGAAGCCUGAUGCAGCAACGCCGCGUGCGGGAUGACGGCCUUCGGGUUGUAAACCGCUUUCGCCUGUGGCGAGGCGUGAGUGACGGUAAUGGGUAAAGAAGCACCGGCUAACUACGUG
rnacentral:rRNA from 1 species